UACAGAGGUGGCAAGCGUUGUUCGGAAUUACUGGGCGUAAAGGGCGCGUAGGCGGUCAGGUCAGUCCCGUGUGAAAUCCCUCGGCUCAACUGAGGAACUGCACGGGAAACUGCCUGGCUUGAGUUCGGGAGAGGGAAGCGGAAUUCCGGGUGUAGCGGUGAAAUGCGUAGAUAUCUGGAGGAACACCGGUGGCGAAGGCGGCGUCCUGGACCAACACUGACACUGAGGAGCGAAAGCCAGGGGAGCAAACGGG
rnacentral:rRNA from 1 species